GACAGAGGGGGCAAGCGUUGUUCGGAUUUACUGGGCGUAAAGGGCGCGUAGGCGGCCACCGCAAGUCGACUGUGAAAUCUCCGGGCUUAACCCGGAAAGGUCAGCCGAUACUGCGGGGCUAGAGUGCAGAAGGGGCAACUGGAAUUCUCGGUGUAGCGGUGAAAUGCGUAGAUAUCGAGAGGAACACCUGCGGCGAAGGCGGGUUGCUGGGCUGACACUGACGCUGAGGCGCGAAAGCCAGGGGAGCAAACGGG
rnacentral:rRNA from 1 species